rnacentral:rRNA from 1 species
AGUGAACGCUGGCGGUAGGCCUAACACAUGCAAGUCGAACGGCAGCACAGUAAGAGCUUGCUCUUACGGGUGGCGAGUGGCGGACGGGUGAGGAAUACAUCGGAAUCUACUUUUUCGUGGGGGAUAACGUAGGGAAACUUACGCUAAUACCGCAUACGACCUACGGGUGAAAGCAGGGGAUCUUCGGACCUUGCGCGAUUGAAUGAGCCGAUGUCGGAUUAGCUAGUUGGCGGGGUAAAGGCCCACCAAGGCGACGAUCCGUAGCUGGUCUGAGAGGAUGAUCAGCCAGACUGGAACUGAGACACGGUCCAGACUCCUACGGGAGGCAGCAGUGGGGAAUAUUGGACAAGGGGCGCAAGCCUGAUCCAGCCAUACCGCGUGGGUGAAGAAGGCCUUCGGGUUGUAAAGCACUUUUGUUGGGAAAGAAAAGCAGCAGGUUAAUACCCCGCUGUUCUGACGGUACCCAAAGAAUAAGCACCGGCUAACUUCGUG